rnacentral:rRNA from 1 species
UAUUAUGAGAGUUUGAUCCUGGCUCAGGACGAACGCUGGCGGCGUGCCUAAUACAUGCAAGUCGAACGCUUCUUUCCUCCCGAGUGCUUGCACUCAAUUGGAAAGAGGAGUGGCGGACGGGUGAGUAACACGUGGGUAACCUACCCAUCAGAGGGGGAUAACACUUGGAAACAGGUGCUAAUACCGCAUAACAGUUUAUG